rnacentral:ncRNA from 1 species
ACUGAAUUAAAACAAUAUGGGAUUGAGAGUUAGGCUUUGUAGGUUGGAAUUUUUGUUACAGGACACUGCAAGGUGGGUAGAUUAUCUAGGGCACAUUCCUACUAAAGAGUAACUGAGGUGUGAGAAGGUAGGCUCUAGCUAAGAUUCUGCUUGUGAGCGUAAUGGUAUAAGUUUGCCUGACUAUGGGACUCACUGGUCGAACAGACAUAUAAGUGGGGCAUAGUGAUGUGGGAGUCCCGUGUGGAAGGGCUCUUGCUCAACGGAUCAAAGGUAUGCCAGAGAUAACAGGCUGGUGAUUCCCAAGAGCUCUUAUUGGAGUCGUUUGGCAUCUUGAUGUCAACUCAUUGGGUUAUAUUUAU